rnacentral:rRNA from 1 species
GAUGAACGCUGGCGGCGUGCCUAAUACAUGCAAGUCGAGCGAACAGACGAGGAGCUUGCUCCUCUGACGUUAGCGGCGGACGGGUGAGUAACACGUGGAUAACCUACCUAUAAGACUGGGAUAACUUCGGGAAACCGGAGCUAAUACCGGAUAAUAUAUUGAACCGCAUGGUUCAAUAGUGAAAGACGGUUUUGCUGUCACUUAUAGAUGGAUCCGCGCCGCAUUAGCUAGUUGGUAAGGUAACGGCUUACCAAGGCAACGAGGCGUACCCGACCUGAGAGGGUGAUAGGCCACACUGGAACUGAGACACGGUCCAGACUCCUACGGGAGGCAGCAGUAGGGAAUCUUCCGCAAUGGGCGAAAGCUUGACGGAGCAACGCCGAGUGAGUGAUGAAGGUCUUCGGAUCGUAAAACUCUGUUAUUAGGGAAGAACAAAUGUGUAAGUAACUAUGCACGUCUUGACGGUACCUAAUCAGAAAGCAACGGCUAACUACGUG